CGAUAUGGUGCUCCUGGGGGAGCUCGGGACCACCAGGUCGUCUAAGGAGGGGUGAACCGGCCCAGGUCGGAGACGGAGCAGGUCAAAGCCCCC
rnacentral:sRNA from 1 species